GCUCAAUCUGGCAGAGCAGCUGACUCUUAAUCAGUAGGUUCAAGGUUCGAGUCCUUGGCGGG
rnacentral:tRNA from 1 species